UACUACAACUUGAAGAUAAUGCACCUCAUCUCAUCUGAAAGCAGAAGCUAAGCAGGUUUGGGCUGGGUUAAUAUUUGGAUGGGAGAUCACCUGGGAAGACUGGGUGCUGUAGGCU
rnacentral:rRNA from 1 species